rnacentral:rRNA from 1 species
GAUGAACGCUGGCGGCGUGCCUAACACAUGCCAGUCGAGCGAACAGACGAGGAGCUUGCUCCUCUGACGUUAGCGGCGGACGGGUGAGUAACACGUGGAUAACCUACCUAUAAGACUGGGAUAACGUCGGGAAACCGGAGCUAAUACCGGAUAACAUGUUGAAAAGCAUGGUUCAACAGUGAAAGACGGUUUUGCUGUCACUCAUAGAUGGAUCCGCGUCGCAUUAGCUAGUUGGUAAGGUAACGGCUUACCAAGGCAACGAUGCGUAGCCGACCUGAGAGGAUGAUCAGCCACACUGGAACUGAGACACGGUCCAGACUCCUACGGGAGGCAGCAGUAGGGAAUUUUCGGCAAUGGGCGAAAGCCUGACGGAGCAACGCCGCGUGAGUGAAGAAGGUCUUCGGAUCGUAAAGCUCUGUUGUCCGGGAAGAACAAAUGUGUACGUAACUAUGCACGGGUUGACGGUACCGGAUCAGAAAGCCCCGGCUAACUACGUG